GCCAAAUGUUACGGAGGAUAUGAAUGCAGGUGCCCCCCAAAACACAAGUGUUGCCAGAGCUGACAACCUCACAGAUCUCCAUAGCCACUUGUACUCCUCACUUCGUAAAGCCUCUAUCUUUUGAAGGAGCUGCACUCUUCAAUGUCUGUAUGCACCGUCUUAUUUUGUUGAACAGGAAUUGACUGGAUAUACUUAUGAUGAAUACCAGUUGCAUCAAUGCAAAAGCGCCCAUCCAGAAGCAAGGGAUAUAUAAUUUGCAGCUUACUGGAGGAAUUGUGGAGCAAGCCACCGUGGUGGAGUCUCUCGUGCGUCCGACUGGGAGUCGUCAUGGGAACAAGUAAGCCGAGGCUCCCUCUAUCCAUGGCGAUGGUGUUGCGUGCCACCGCUGAGACUAGAGGGAGAGGGAGGGAGAGAGACGAAGAGAGACUCUUUGUGACAGAGGUCGAAUAUAAAUAGAGACUGGAGGAGGGCCCAAUGGCGGUAAGUGAAGUGCAAAUUUUAAAAAAUGACGCUGCCACUUCGAUUUGUGCUACUUUAUCAUAAAAAAGAGGAGUCUGGUUAGUGGGAAAUUUCUU